UUUUUCUUUGUGCGGUGUUGUCUUGCGUCCCGCGUGGUUUGAGUUGGCUGGUGUAUUGUGCUUUUAGAGCAUUUGAAAUGGCACCCACAGGAGAAGCAACGUCAAUGGGCACAUACAAAAUAAGCAAACUUUACACAGUUGUAAAGUUCGCAAAUGACACAGUCGAACUGGUGCCGUCAAAAUGGAUUAUUGGUGGGAAGCUAUGCCUUUGGCCAGCCAAGAAGCAGAAUUCAA